GGUUCGAAGACGCCAUCAAAGAAACCGGCGGCGAGGAGCGCAUCCCGCAGGGGAAGGCCCGCGGCCUGCGUGGGCCGCGACGGGGACCGGUGCGCUGGCAGGCACUUCAUGCCGGGACAGCUAAAGCCAAGUUUACAGCAGAGCCUGGCACAGUACCCGAACCACAAGGAGAUAGCAGCUACUGUGAUUGGACACGUUCAAGGUAGAAAAAGCUGGCUCAUGGAAACCCUUCAUCCUCUGCCUCCCGAGGGCUGGAGUUAAAAGUGAUACCAUGCUCCAGGGAAGGCUUCGACGUGACUCAUCACAGCACUUGGCACGGAGUAACUCAACUAACAUCUGUUGGAGGGAUGAAUAAUUUAGGGGAUCCCGAGAAGGCCACUCGGAGGCUUGGCAGCCAGGUUAGCGACUGAGAUUGUCUAGGAGAAAAACUGGUGUGCUCACGACCCAUGGGUAUAGAUACCAUCUCUACAGUGACUAUAAAAAUGGCACGCUCACUCAGGCGUUCUCCAUUGUGACAUCUGUCCUGUGUUGAUCCCAGCAACCCAGGUGUCCCGACAUCAGGCCACCGAUCUCCUGCAUUGUGUCCUCCCACCUUGUCCAUAGAAGGCCGUGUAGAUGGAGGUAAUAAUUUUGGAGCUUUAAUUGAUGCCUCUUUAGUCUCAGUCUCAGAGAUACUCGAUGAAAUGGCCACGUGGAUGACAUGACGGUGUGAGCGGAGCUGAGACACAGGUCAGCAUUCUUACCCCAGGCAGGUGAGGCUUUGUGGAUGAGCACCAAAAUGCUAUGCGGUUACCUCGGGCUGCUGGUGCUAAGAUUUAUGAUCUUCAGUGAUGUCACACAGCAUUCUAACAGCACUGCUCUGCUCAUCUUGAGACCUCGAAGCAGGAAGCAGACAGCUGGCGGGCAUCAGAUCCUAUUUCAGCUUCCAUCCACUCAAAGCCUUUAGGAAUUGGGUUCACAGCCCGUAAAACCAAGAUCUCUUCUAUGUAAAGCUGAAGGAAGCAUGGAAGUAGACUCUUUACUCUCAGUGACUCAUGGGACACUGGCCAUUUGAGAUCCAGAGGGCUCUAAGGUGACAUCAGGGACCUUUCACACUGGUGCCAGUCUUUAAAUUUACCACCGUUAUCAAGAUAUUAUCUAGUUAGUUCCUGCUCACACAAGCCUCUGACUGACCCAUGCUGAUGACACCUGUUGGUAUCAGGGUAUCAGCACUGCAGAUCAGCUCUGGACCUAGUGACAUCACAUAUCGCUGACAGGAACCCGCACAUCUAUUGCCAAGGCAACCGCCACACAUUCCCAGAAUCCACUUGGCUCACCUCCCACAUUUACCUGCAGGCGGCUAAUGUCACUAUACAAAUAAACAGGCAGAUCCCUCUGACCCCUCUCUCUACCCCCGCACCCUGCUCCUCCUUCUCCACCACCUUUGCCCUUUUCUCCUAUAAUAAACCUCUGACACAUGGAA
rnacentral:lncRNA from 1 species